GUGCUCUCUUCUGCAGCACAUAUGCUAAAAUUGGAACGAUACAGAGAAGAUUAACAUGGCCCCUAAUAAAGAAAAAAAAAAGAAUGCAAGACAUACAUGGACAUUAA